UUCUCGUGCUUCUCCCGGGAGGGAUUACUCAACCCACUUCGCGGGGCCCCUCUCUCUCUCUCUCUCUCUCUCUCUCUCUCUCUCUCUUGCUCGUAUGAUCGAGGCAAUGGAUUGCGAAGCGCAGGGGUUCAAAAGCCCCAAUCCAUCUCUUUAUGGGAGUUUUCAAUUUAAGAAGGCAUCUAUGGCUAUUUCAAUACUAAACUGAGGAAAGUAAAGAUCAGCUCUAUUCGGCUUUAACAUCAUUCUGAAUGUGAGAUUUAACACUUGGAUAAGCUUCUAAGCGAUCAACAGUAAGCACAACAAUUUAUGGCGUUGCAAGGUGGCGGUGGCGGGGGUGGCGGGGGCCCAUCCCAGAUUGAGAGCUUGGCUCGACAAGGUUCGCUCUAUAAUCUUACACUAAAUGAGGUCGAGAGUCACUUGGGUGAACCUCUUCACAGUAUGAACCUUGAUGAGCUCCUAAAGAGUGUACUUCCGAUAGAAAUGAACCAAUCUCUACCAGCAAUGGAUGAGAGUUCCACCAGUGAACACCCAUUGGGCCCCGGCCUGCUCCGCCAGGGGAGCAUAACUAUGCCGCAGGGGCUAAGCAAGAAGACAGUGGACGAAGUAUGGAGGGACAUCCAACAAGGCGGGAAGAAGGGGAGCGAGGAGGGGCAUAAAGGACGCCGGGAGAGGCAGACGACCCUCGGAGAGAUGACCCUCGAGGAUUUCUUAGUAAAGGCCGGUGUGGUGACUAAUGAACUGAUUGCAAAUGUCGGUCAAGGGGGAAGCGCCGAUCCGAUGGCCGGGCAGCAGGAUUUCACGCAAGGGGGCCAUUGGUAUCAGCAGGGUGUGAUGGGGGGUUAUCCUGUUUUGAAUGCCAGUUACUCUGAGGGGGGGCAGAUGAGUAUCUCAUCGCAGAUGAUGGGAGCGCUUUCUGAUUCUCAGAUGCCUGGCCGCAAGCGGGCGGCAGCUCCUUCGGAGGAUGUAGAAGAUAAGUUGGUUGAGCGGAGACAAAAGAGGAUGAUAAAGAACCGGGAGUCAGCUGCACGUUCGAGAGCCAGGAAGCAGGCCUACACAAAUGAGCUUGAAAACAAGGUUUCUCGAUUGGAGGAAGAGAAUGAGAGGUUGAAGAAACAGAAGGACGUUGCGAAAUUAGGUGCGGAAAUUUGUAAUUUCCAGCACUUCAAUCCACCUGAAUGAUAGCUCAAACUUCAUUAAGUGAUACGAUCGAGUCUUGCCAGUAGCUUCCAUCUAUGAGAUAACAGUCAUUUAGACUAGUAUAUGUUGCAUCUUUGUGAGCAUUUAAUUUGGCUCAUAAAGGCAAAAAAUUUCAUUCAAAUGCGCUCACAUUGGUCAGAUGUGACCGUUUUGGCUGGAAACCUCUAGUACUGGUAGUGGGCAGAUUUUUUCCAGCCUAUGUAUGAUGAUUCGUCAUUAACAAGGAAAAGUUUAUUGUUCGGAGGCUUCCUUUUUAAUUUGCUUCGAAGCAGCUAAAGUUUCGGAGUUGGACAAGGUACUGUACUCCGAACCACCUCCAGAGCCGAGAUAUCGACUCCGAAGGACAAGUUCGGCCUCCUUCUGACCGUGCUUAUGUAAAAUUUUGUAUAUUAUUGUGUGGCUUUCUUACUGUAGAUCUUGCAAAAGUUGCAGAGAGAAUUCUAUUGCGCCGACAAUAAAAGCAUGUCAUCUGAGUUUCAUCAACACUUUGCAUGUGUUAAUUCCAUAGGAUGUUCAUUUUAUGAUUUCUAUGGAAACUCUCCGAAAGUCGGAUCUCUCUCGCAUAUUUUGUAUGCAUAGUUAUGAUUCAAGGAAAUUUGAGUCAUUUAGUUU